GAGGGCGCUGCUGGUCUCCAUCAGAUCGGGGGUGGGGGUCAGACAAAACACAAACUGAAGUACUUUUACUUUCGAGAAAAACUAGGAGUAGAAAGUAAAAUGUAGGCCCCAAGAAAAUUACUUAAGUACAGAUACAUAUAGAAGAAUACACUAAAGUAACUAUAUAGCGCCUUGGGCACCAAGUAGAGGGUUGUGGGAGGCGCUUUAUAAAUGAAGCCUUGAUUGAUGUAAUUUACUAAUACUAAUAUGUUAGUGGAGUUGUCGUGCCGAGACCAACAGUCAGCACGUUAAUCCUGAAUAAACAUGCUAUGACCUAUUUUUGUUUUGGGACGUAAAACUGAACAAAAACCACAACAUGGUUGCCAUUUUCCCCCUGCAGCCACUCAGACCACCAAGUUCAUCCCUGAUCUAUAACCUGUUGUGUAACCAUCACACGCCGUCAGGGUCGGUGGUUCUGUUAUGAAAUAAAAACCAGAUUGUCUUUGGAAAAUAAAAAUCAAAGAAUCGUUCCAUUCAGCUAGAAAUGCCAACACGAGGAAUCAAUUACAGAAAAUCAGAUCCACACUUGGAAAGACUGUUAGAUACUUUUGUCUUCUAUAUUUCACUAUUCUUAAAAAUUAACUUGUUUCCUAAUGAAAACUCCCCUUUAAGUCUGAUUUUAUCAGUUUUUUCCAUAUGAAAAAGUCAGAGGCAGCGUUAUGUAACGUUCACACGUUCCCACGAGCGUAGAGCCGGACUGGGAGGCGGUCAUAUCGACAACAUCCUAACUAUCACGCUCAAACGCCGCCACUUUCUUCUGUGUGAAACAGAGAAGCCUCGGAGGAGGAGGAGGAGGAGGUGGUGGAAAACACUGAAGCAAGAGUCACUCCCAAACAGGACAGACAUAAAGAAACCAGCUUCAGAGGGAGGAAGACAAACGCAGUGUUUGUUCUGCUCCACAAUCAUCAGUCUAGAAAACUCAUCUUUAAUCUCAACCUGUGUGAUAAUCUGCAUCCCGUAAUCUCUUCUGGAUGACAAACUCAACAGGAUUUCCUAAUCUGGACUAGACUUGGUGAAAUCUCUCACAGAAUGGAUGCCAGAGAGGAGACGCUAAGCCUCCUGAGCAAAGUUUGGCUCAAGUUGCAGAGUCUGUCCAGCGCCCACCCGGUGGAGCUGGGAGCCUUCUUCGUCCUCCUCAUCUUCAUCCUCACUGUCCUGCUCAUGGCGGUUGUGACCUGUGUGACCUGCUGCGGCUGCUGCCGCUGCUGCUGCUGCAAGGCCAAGCAAAGGCGGCGCUGACGUUUAAGCUUGGCACAUUUUUAAAACCCAAAUCUCAAGAAUCCUACUUUUGUGGGAACAUAAAUCAAACAGGGUGUGCUCUGAAGAGGCCUGGCUGCUCAACAGCAAAGCAAACAGGCAGGUGUGUGUGCAGACAGGCUGCCAAACACACCUGCUGAAGCUGCCAGCUUUUCCAGAGGAUCGGCAUUCCUCGGAGCAUCCCUGCAGCUUACGGCGCUGCGACAGCCUGGGGAGAAGGCGGGGCCUAGCCCAACUGUCUGAUAUACACCUAGACAGGAUAUGACAUGUAAUUCAACAAACUGGAGACCUUCUAAAUGCUAUAAACACAUAGAACGUAUGUAUUUGUGAGGUAGAAUCCCCUUAGAGGGGAUGCAAAACCUGGAUGAACAAAGAAAAAGGGUGCAAGUCUGCCCUCUGCUGGACAUUUGUUGUAAAAAUGAAAAUAAAAAUGAGAUUUUACCCGAAA